rnacentral:rRNA from 1 species
GUAAUGUAUGGGGAGUCUGCCCGAUAGAGGGGGAGUAACUACUGGAAACGGUGGCUAAUACCGCAUAAUGUCUACGGACCAAAGCAGGGGCUCUUCGGACCUUGCACUAUCGGAUGAACCCAUAUGGGAUUAGCUAGUAGGUGGGGUAAAGGCUCACCUAGGCGACGAUCUCUAGCUGGUCUGAGAGGAUGAUCAGCCACACUGGGACUGAGACACGGCCCAGACUCCUACGGGAGGCAGCAUG